UACGUAGGGGGCAAGCGUUGUUCGGAAUCAUUGGGCGUAAAGAGCGUGUAGGCGGUCCGGUAAGUCCGCUGUGAAAGUCGGGGGCUCAACCCUCGAAUGCCGGUGGAUACUGUCGGGCUAGAGUGCGGAAGAGGCGAGUGGAAUUCCUGGUGUAGCGGUGAAAUGCGCAGAUAUCAGGAGGAACACCUAUUGCGAAGGCAGCUCGCUGGGACGUAACUGACGCUGAGACGCGAAAGCGUGGGGAGCAAACAGG
rnacentral:rRNA from 1 species